rnacentral:ncRNA from 1 species
GUGCAUCAGAAAAGGAGAGAUGGUUGGAAGUCCCCUGCACAAGGUCGGACAGGGCAUCUGAUGCCCACUCUCCUGAGGCAUGAAACAUCCGCUACUUU